GAUUGCUAAAGAUCGCUUCCUCCCUAUGUGUUAGCGUGAAAGCCGGGCCCAGAGACGUGUUUACCAUACAGCGCAUGCUGCAGAUUUCACAUUGCGACAUGGGCAGCACCAAAAAAAGAGCCAUCGCAGGAUUGCGUCAAGAAGAUAUCUAUAGCUGAGCUGGGAAAUCCUGUCGCUGGGACCAGAGUAUCAACCGGCAAUCGUAUCUUGUUGGCUGGAUUAAAAUUUAUUACUGGCAAAUAGAAAAGUAAUAUUACUCGUGCUAUUACUGAUUUUUGAGGAUAAUUGUUGAUCUCUGUGUUCUCAAGGCAGGGUGACUGGAAACCUCAAACCUUGGGUGAGCAACAGCGGUUUAGCUCCUCCCCCACUUGUCCGUGCCCCGUCGUUCAUUGGUCGUUGCCACAGGCCAGAGCCACGGAUUGGUGCAGACAGAGGAUGACGGGUAGCGGGCGGCCAGCGGGGGCUGUCGGUCCGCUGCUUCGCCCACUCCGUCCCGGUCACCCCAGGGCCACCAUUUGCGGGUUCGGCUGUGACCUCACGGCUCGGUGCAGCUGUCACAUCGCAUCAGGCUGACAUGGACAGUCGACGCUAACAAUGUAAUUUCCCAAAGUGUUGUGGAAGCUCUGCAUGACAGAGUCAUAGUACAGCUUGGAAAAGGCUUCAGAAUGGGCGUCAGGAAUUAUGAUAGAUGGGGCUGGGAAAAAAAGACUCAAAUUUAAUAUGAGAAAAAAUACAUUCAAGUAUCUAAAAUGCAGUCGCCUUUGCAGAA